rnacentral:rRNA from 1 species
UACGUAGGUGGCGAGCGUUGUCCGGAUUUACUGGGCGUAAAGAGCGCGCAGGCGGUCGGAUCAGUCGAAUGUGAAAGCCCCCGGCUUAACUGGGGAGGGUCAUUCGAUACUGUUCGACUCGAAGGCAGGAGAGGGAAGUGGAAUUCCUGGUGUAGCGGUGAAAUGCGCAGAUAUCAGGAGGAACACCGGUGGCGAAGGCGGUUCUCUGGGCCUGUACUGACGCUGAGGCGCGACAGCGUGGGGAGCAAACAGG